rnacentral:rRNA from 1 species
ACGGAAGGCAGCAGUGGGGGAUAUUGGACAAUGGGGGAAACCCUGAUCCAGCGACGCCGCGUGAGUGAAGAAGUAUUUCGGUAUGUAAAGCUCUAUCAGCAGGGAAGAAAAAAUCAAAAUUGACAGUACCUGACUAAGAAGCUCCGGCUAAAUACGUGCCAGCAGCCGCGGUAAUACGUAUGGAGCAAGCGUUAUCCGGAUUUACUGGGUGUAAAGGGUGCGUAGGCGGUAUGGCAAGUCAGAUGUGAAAGACCGGGGCUCAACUCCGGGGCUGCAUUUGAAACUGCCAGACUGGAGUACAGGAGAGGCAGGCGGAAUUCCUAGUGUGGCGGUGAAAUGCGUAGAUAUUAGGAGGAACACCAGUGGCGAAGGCGGCCUGCUGGACUGUUACUGACGCUGAGGCACGAAAGCGUGGGGAGCAAACAGGAUUAGAUACCCUGGUA